rnacentral:tRNA from 1 species
GGUGAGAUGGCCGAGUUGGUCUAAGGCGCCAGGUUAAGGUCCUGGUCGGGAAACCGGCGUGGGUUCGAAUCCCACUCUCAUCA